AGCGAACGCUGGCGGCAGGCCUAACACAUGCAAGUCGAACGAAGUCUUCGGACUUAGUGGCGGACGGGUGAGUAACGCGUGGGAACGUACCUUUUGGUUCGGAACAACUCAGGGAAGCUUGAGCUAAUACCGGAUGAGCCCUUAGGGGGAAAGAUUUAUCGCCGAAAGAGCGGCCCGCGUUAGAUUAGCUAGUUGGUGAGGUAAAGGCUCACCAAGGCUACGAUCUAUAGCUGGUCUGAGAGGAUGAUCAGCCACACUGGGACUGAGACACGGCCCAGACUCCUACGGGAGGCAGCAGUGGGGAAUCUUGCGCAAUGGGCGAAAGCCUGACGCAGCCAUGCCGCGUGAAUGAUGAAGGUCUUAGGAUUGUAAAAUUCUUUUACCAGGGACGAUAAUGACGGUACCUGGAGAAAAAGCCCCGGCUAACUUCGUGCCAGCCGCCGCUGUAAAAC
rnacentral:rRNA from 1 species